AACUGUAAAACGUGCAGGAAAAAGUACUGAGGCCUGGCGUAUUUUUGCUCCAACUUUAAACGAUCAUAACUUCUUAUACAUAAUGAUAUUGGUGAUAUACUAUAUAUCAACGGAAAGCUCUGCGAGUCUUCUUUCCAAUGAAAUUGGUUUCAUCCAAUUUGUCUAUCGGAGCAAAAAGUUAUGGUCAAUCUACUUCAGCCUAN
rnacentral:lncRNA from 1 species